rnacentral:rRNA from 1 species
UACGGAGGGGGCAAGCGUUAUUCGGAAUUAUUGGGCGUAAAGGGCGCGUAGGCGGCCUGUUAAGUCGAACGUGAAAUCCCCGGGCUCAACCCGGGAACUGCGUCCGAAACUGGCAGGCUCGAAUUCGGGAGAGGGAUGCGGAAUUCCAGGUGUAGCGGUGAAAUGCGUAGAUAUCUGGAGGAACAUCGGUGGCGAAGGCGGCAUCCUGGACCGAUAUUGACGCUGAGGCGCGAAAGCCAGGGGAGCAAACGGG